rnacentral:rRNA from 1 species
UCCCAGACUCCUACGGGAGGCAGCAGUUAGGAAUAUUCGUCAAUGGGGGAAACCCUGAACGAGCAAUGCCGCGUGAAGGAUGACGGUCCUCUGGAUUGUAAACUUCUGUUGUUAGGGAAGAACGACCUAAGUAGGAAAUGACUUAGGAGUAACGGUACCUUUCAAGAAAGCUCCGGCUAACUACGUGCCAGCAGCCGCGGUAAUACGUAGGGAGCGAGCGUUAUCCGGAUUUAUUGGGUGUAAAGGGUGCGUAGGCGGCGCUUCAGGUCAGCGGUGAAAUACCGGGGCUCAACCCCGGGGCUGCCGUUGAAACCGGAGCGCUAGAAUUCCGAUGCCGUCGGAGGAAUGUGUGGUGUAGCGGUGAAAUGCAUAGAUAUCACACAGAACACCGAUUGCGAAGGCAUCUGACGAAGCGGAGAUUGACGCUGAUGCACGAAAGCGUGGGUAUCGAACAGGAUUAGAUACCCGCGUAC